rnacentral:rRNA from 1 species
GACGAACGCUGGCGGCGUGCUUAACACAUGCAAGUCGAACGGAAAGGCCCUGCUUUUGUGGGGUGCUCGAGUGGCGAACGGGUGAGUAACACGUGAGUAACCUGCCCUUGACUUUGGGAUAACUUCAGGAAACUGGGGCUAAUACCGGAUAGGAGCUCCUGCUGCAUGGUGGGGGUUGGAAAGUUUCGGCGGUUGGGGAUGGACUCGCGGCUUAUCAGCUUGUUGGUGGGGUAGUGGCUUACCAAGGCUUUGACGGGUAGCCGGCCUGAGAGGGUGACCGGGCACGUUGGGAGUGAGAUGCGGCACAGACGCCUACGGGAGGCAGCAGUGGGGAAGGUUGAACAAUGGGCUGUAGCCAGAUGCAGCAACGUCGCGUGGGGGAGGCCGGCCUGCGGGGUGAAAGACGCUAUCGCAGGUGACGAAGCGUGAGUGACGGUAAUGGGUAAAGAAGCACCGGCUAACUACGUG